rnacentral:precursor_RNA from 15 species
AUGCCAGAGGGCUCUAUCUGAGGCCUAAGGAGGUGAAGUGACUUGCCAAGGUUAUUCAUGUGCUAUCUUAAGCAAGUCCCUUCCCCUCUCUACCCCUCAGUAUUCUCUUCUGUAAAUUG